AGGACGAACGCUGGCGGCGUGCUUAACACAUGCAAGUCGAACGGUGAUGGUGGGAGCUUGCUCCUACCGGAUCAGUGGCGAACGGGUGAGUAACACGUGGGCAACCUGCCCCAGACACUGGGAUAACUCCGGGAAACCGGGGCUAAUACCGGAUACUCCGCUUGGAUCGCAUGGUCCGAUCGGGAAAGCUUUUGCGGUCUGGGAUGGGCCCGCGGCCUAUCAGCUUGUUGGUGAGGUAACGGCUCACCAAGGCGACGACGGGUAGCUGGUCUGAGAGGACGACCAGCCACACUGGGACUGAGAUACGGCCCAGACUCCUACGGGAGGCAGCAGUGGGGAAUCUUGCGCAAUGGGCGAAAGCCUGACGCAGCGACGCCGCGUGGGGGAUGAAGGCCCUCGGGUUGUAAACCCCGUUUCGGCAGGGACGAAGCGAUUGUGACGGUACCUGCAGAGAAGCCUCGGCUAACUACGUGCCAGCAGCCGC
rnacentral:rRNA from 1 species